UACGAAGGGGGCUAGCGUUGUUCGGAAUCACUGGGCGUAAAGGGCGCGUAGGCGGCCAUAUAAGUCGGGGGGUGAAAGCCUGUGGCUCAACCACAGAAUUGCCUUCGAUACUGUAUGGCUCGAGACCGGAAGAGGUAAGUGGAACUGCGAGUGUAGAGGUGAAAUUCGUAGAUAUUCGCAAGAACACCAGUGGCGAAGGCGGCUUACUGGUCCGGUUCUGACGCUGAGGCGCGAAAGCGUGGGGGAGCAAACAGG
rnacentral:rRNA from 1 species